rnacentral:sRNA from 1 species
AACUAGCCCUGAUUGUAGAGAAAAUAAAAAACCUUUCUGGGUUUCAGAAAGGUUUUUUAUUGCAGCGAAAAGCAGGAACAUGG